AAAUUGGAGAGUUUGAUCCUGGCUCAGAACGAACGCUGGCGGCGUGCCUAACACAUGCAAGUCGAACGAGAAAGCCUGAGCAAUCGGGUGAGUAAAGUGGCGGACUGGUGAGUAACACGUAGGUAAUCUACCUGCAAAAUGGGAAUAACUCCGCGAAAGUGGGGCUAAUACCGAAUAACGUUCAGGAAACAUAAGUUUUCUGAACCAAAGAUGGCUGAAUCCGUAAGGAUGCUAUUGUUUGCAGAUGAGCCUGCGUACCAUUAGCUAGUUGGUAGGGUAAUAGCCUACCAAGGCAACGAUGGUUAGCCGGCCUGAGAGGGCGAUCGGCCACAUUGGGACUGAGAUACGGCCCAGACUCCUACGGGAGGCAGCAGUGGGGAAUAUUGCGCAAUGGAGGAAACUCUGACGCAGCGACGCCGCGUGGAGGAUGAAGGUUUUCGGAUCGUAAACUCCUUUUAGAGGGGAAGAAAACUAUCUUGUUAACAAUGAGAUAGCUUGACAGUACCAUCAGAAAAAGCCCCGGCUAACUCCGUGCCAGCAGCCGCGGUAAUACGGAGGGGGCAAGCGUUGUUCGGAAUUACUGGGCGUAAAGGGCGCGUAGGUGGCGAUAUAAGUCAGACGUGAAAUCCCUCAGCUUAACUGAGGAAUUGCGUUUGAAACUGUAUUGCUUGAGUACAGGAGAGGAGAGUGGAAUUCCCAGUGUAGCGGUGAAAUGCGUAGAUAUUGGGAGGAACACCGGUGGCGAAGGCGGCUCUCUGGACUGUUACUGACACUGAGGCGCGAAAGCAUGGGGAGCAAACGGGAUUAGAUACCCCGGUAGUCCAUGCUGUAAACGAUGGGCACUAGGUGUGGAGGGUUUCAACCCCUUCUGUGCCGAAGCUAACGCAUUAAGUGCCCCGCCUGGGGAGUACGGUCGCAAGAUUAAAACUCAAAGGAAUUGACGGGGGCCCGCACAAGCGGUGGAGCAUGUGGUUUAAUUCGACGCAACGCGAAGAACCUUACCUGGGUUUGACAUCUCCCUAAUUCCUGAGAAAUCAGGAAGUGCCUUGCAAAAGGAGUGGGAAGACAGGUGCUGCAUGGCUGUCGUCAGCUCGUGUCGUGAGAUGUUGGGUUAAGUCCCGCAACGAGCGCAACCCUUACUCUUAGUUGCCAAACCCCGAAAGGGGAGGAACUCUAAGAGAACUGCCGGCGAUAAGUCGGAGGAAGGUGGGGAUGACGUCAAGUCCUCAUGGCCUUUAUAUCCAGGGCUACACACGUGCUACAAUGGCUGGUACAGAGGGUAGCAAACUCGCGAGAGGAAGCCAAUCCCAUAAAACCAGUCUCAGUUCGGAUUGGAGUCUGCAACUCGACUCCAUGAAGUUGGAAUCGCUAGUAAUCGUGGAUCAGCACGCCACGGUGAAUACAGUUCCCGGGCCUUGUACACACCGCCCGUCACACCACGAAAGUCAAUUGUACCAGAAGUCGCUAGGCUAAUCUUGAGCAAUCACGAAGGCAGGUGCCUAAGGUAUGAUUGGUAAUUGGGGUGAAGUCGUAACAAGGUAGCCGUAGGGGAACCUGCGGCUGGAUCACCUCCUUUCUAAGGAG
rnacentral:rRNA from 1 species